CCUACGGGUGGCAGCAGUCGGGAAUAAUGCGCAAUGGGCGAAAGCCUGACGCAGCGACGCCGCGUGAGGGAUGAAGGUCUUCGGAUCGUAAACCUCUGUCAGCAGGGAAGAACGGUCACUGUGCUAAUCAGCAGUGAAUUGACGGUACCUGCAAAGGAAGCACCGGCUAACUCCGUGCCAGCAGCCGCGGGAAUACGGAGGGUGCGAGCGUUAAUCGGAAUUACUGGGCGUAAAGCGCUCGUAGGCGGUAUGUCAAGUCAAGGGUGAAAGCCCCGCGCUCAACGUGGGAACUGCCUUUGAAACUGGCAAACUGGAGUGUGUGAGAGGAUAGUGGAAUUCCAGGUGUAGGAGUGAAAUCCGUAGAUAUCGGGAGGAACAUCAGUGGCGAAGGCGACUAUCUGGCACAUAACUGACGCUGAGGAGCGAAAGCGUGGGUAGCAAACAGGAUUAGAUACCCGGGUAGUC
rnacentral:rRNA from 1 species